rnacentral:rRNA from 1 species
GCAAGUCGAACGAGAAAAUUCUCUUCGGAGAAUGAUUAGAGUGGCGCACGGGUGAGUAACACUUAGGUAACUUACCUCCUCGCUGGGGAUAACCAAGGGAAACUUUGGCUAAUACCGAAUGACCCCCUAGAGCUUCGGCAAUGGUGGGGAAAGCCUUCGGGCGCGAGGAGAGAGGCCUGAGUCCCAUUAGCUUGUUGGUAGGGUAAAAGCCUACCAAGGCCGCGAUGGGUAGCUGGUCUGAGAGGAUGAUC